rnacentral:rRNA from 1 species
UGCAAGUUGAACGAGAAAGCUCCUUCGGGAGUAAGUAAAGUGGCGCACGGGUGAGUAAUACUUGGGUAACGUACCUCUUUGAGGGGGACAACUGGGGGAAACCUCGGCUAAUACCGCGUACGCCGACAGAGACUGCGGUUUCUGUCGGGAAAGUCGUAAGACGCAGAGAGAGCGGCCCAAGUCCCAUUAGCUUGUUGGUAAGGUAACGGCUUACCAAGGCACCGAUGGGUAGCUGGUCUGAGAGGAUGAUCAGCCACACUGGUACUGGAACACGGACCAGACUCCUACGGGAGGCAGCAGCUGGGAAUAUUGCGCAAUGGACGAAAGUCUGACGCAGCAACGCCGCGUGGGUGAGGAAGGCCUUCGGGUCGUAAAGCCCUUUUAGCAGGGAAGAAAAAAAUGACGGUACCUGCAGAAAAAGCACCGGCUAACUCCGUGCCAGCAGCCGCGGUAAUACGGAGGGUGCGAGCGUUAAUCGGAAUUACUGGGCGUAAAGCGUACGCAGGCGGUUUGUUAAGCGAGAUGUGAAAGCCCCGGGCUCAACCUGGGAACUGCAUUUCGAACUGGCAAACUAGAGUGUGAUAGAGGGUGGUAGAAUUUCAGGUGUAGCGGUGAAAUGCGUAGAGAUCUGAAGGAAUACCGAUGGCGAAGGCAGCCACCUGGGUCAACACUGACGCUCAUGUACGAAAGCGUGGGGAGCAAACAGGAUUAGAUACCCUGUGCAAGUUGAUGCAAGUUGAUGCAAGUUGAUGCAAGUUGACCUCGGU